rnacentral:rRNA from 1 species
GACGAACGCUGGCGGCGUGCUUAACACAUGCAAGUCGAACGAAGUGGCGAAAGGGUGAGUAACGCGUAAUCAACAUGACAUUCAGGGGGGAACAACAGUUGGAAACGACUGCUAAUACCGCAUAAUGAAGGAGGGGAUUGCGUCUGAUUAGCUAGGUGGAGGGGUAAAGGCCCCCCAAGGCGAUGAUCAGUAGCCGGUCUGAGAGGAUGAACGGCCACAUUGGGACUGAGACACGGCCCAGACUCCUACGGGAGGCAGCAGGGGGGAAUCUUCCGCAAUGGACGAAAGUCUGACGGAGCAACGCCGCGUGAGGGAUGACGGCCUUCGGGUUGUAAAGCUCUGUUAAUCGGGACGCGGUACCGGAAUAGAAAGCCACGGCUAACUCCGUGCCAGCAGCCGCGGUAAUAC